AUGAACGCUAGCUACAGGCUUAACACAUGCAAGUCGAGGGGCAGCAUGGUCUUAGCUUGCUAAGGCCGAUGGCGACCGGCGCACGGGUGAGUAACACGUAUCCAACCUGCCGUCUACUCUUGGACAGCCUUCUGAAAGGAAGAUUAAUACAAGAUGGCAUCAUGAGUCCGCAUGUUCACAUGAUUAAAGGUAUUCCGGUAGACGAUGGGGAUGCGUUCCAUUAGAUAGUAGGCGGGGUAACGGCCCACCUAGUCUUCGAUGGAUAGGGGUUCUGAGAGGAAGGUCCCCCACAUUGGAACUGAGACACGGUCCAAACUCCUACGGGAGGCAGCAGUGAGGAAUAUUGGUCAAUGGGCGAGAGCCUGAACCAGCCAAGUAGCGUGAAGGAUGACUGCCCUAUGGGUUGUAAACUUCUUUUAUAAAGGAAUAAAGUCGGGUAUGGAUACCCGUUUGCAUGUACUUUAUGAAUAAGGAUCGGCUAACUCCGUGCCAGCAGCCGCGGUAAUACGGAGGAUCCGAGCGUUAUCCGGAUUUAUUGGGUUUAAAGGGAGCGUAGAUGGAUGUUUAAGUCAGUUGUGAAAGUUUGCGGCUCAACCGUAAAAUUGCAGUUGAUACUGGAUAUCUUGAGUGCAGUUGAGGCAGGCGGAAUUCGUGGUGUAGCGGUGAAAUGCUUAGAUAUCACGAAGAACUCCGAUUGCGAAGGCAGCCUGCUAAGCUGCAACUGACAUUGAGGCUCGAAAGUGUGGGUAUCAAACAGGAUUAGAUACCCUGGUAGUCCACACGGUAAACGAUGAAUACUCGCUGUUUGCGAGUUACUGCAAGCGGCCAAGCGAAAGCGUUAAGUAUUCCACCUGGGGAGUACGCCGGCAACGGUGAAACUCAAAGGAAUUGACGGGGGCCCGCACAAGCGGAGGAACAUGUGGUUUAAUUCGAUGAUACGCGAGGAACCUUACCCGGGCUUAAAUUGCAGAUGAAUUACGGUGAAAGCCGUAAGCCGCAAGGCAUCUGUGAAGGUGCUGCAUGGUUGUCGUCAGCUCGUGCCGUGAGGUGUCGGCUUAAGUGCCAUAACGAGCGCAACCCUUGUUGUCAGUUACUAACAGGUUCCGCUGAGGACUCUGACAAGACUGCCAUCGUAAGAUGUGAGGAAGGUGGGGAUGACGUCAAAUCAGCACGGCCCUUACGUCCGGGGCUACACACGUGUUACAAUGGGGGGUACAGAGGGCCGCUACCACGCGAGUGGAUGCCAAUCCCCAAAACCUCUCUCAGUUCGGACUGGAGUCUGCAACCCGACUCCACGAAGCUGGAUUCGCUAGUAAUCGCGCAUCAGCCACGGCGCGGUGAAUACGUUCCCGGGCCUUGUACACACCGCCCGUCAAGCCAUGGGAGCCGGGGGUACCUGAAGUGCGUAACCGCGAGGAGCGCCCUAGGGUAAAACUGGUGACUGGGGCU
rnacentral:rRNA from 1 species